UAGUUCGUGGGUUGGGUGUUGGUGGUUCGUGGGGUGGUUGUUCUCCAAUGUUUAAUUGUGUGUUUUAUUUUAAUUUGGUUUAAUUAUCCCUUCUCUCUCCUCUUACUUUUCAUUAAUCUUGCUUAAGAAGUUUUGCCUAGGAGUCCGCAUUUUAGUCCUUUGUUGCAGAUAACUCCGGGCAGAGGAAGUAUAAUAUAUAUAUGUGUGUGUGAGAGAGAACCAUGGUGAAUAAUGAGAACUGAGAACUAUUGUCAGCCGUUGAUCGAGUAUCAUCCGACGGCUGAAAUCUCAUCCGCUUCAUUAAGGGUAAAAUUGUAAUUCGGGAUUUGAAUGACUACCUCGAAUCUUCCCAGUAUCUUUUUUCUCUUUCUCUCUCUUCUCCAAACUUACUCUCUCUUCAUUCUGAUUCUCUCUCUUGCGAAUUUCUCCUUCAUUUUUCACAUUUGAAACUCUUGAAUUUGUUAUUGGAUCAUCGUCGUUUGUUAUUUCCGAUCAACUUAUGCAAAAACCAUGGCAUGUGAAGGUGAGGAUAUAUAUCUUGAGUGAUAAUUUUUCUCUGCUAUUACGAGGGUAAUGUUUGAGCUCAUUAGAUUUUUCUUAUUUACUUUUUAGAUUUUAUUAUUUACUUUAGAGAUUUUUUAUUUACUUUUGAUUAUUUUUUCCUUACCUCAAAUGUUUUAAUGUACACUAGCCUACUAGCUCAAUAGGUAGAGUAUUGUGCAAAUGUACAAAAGAUGUGGGUUCAAAUCACACGUAGGUUUAUUUAUUAGUGAAACUAUUUUUAUUUAAUUUUGUCUAUUUAAGUAGUUAUCUACCUUAAAAACUUAUAUAUACUUUUUGUAUUAUUUUAUUCACUUUUUACUUAAAAACCUUUACUCGUUUGUAUGAUUUAAAGGCCAAUGACUCAGUUUCUAUGUUUAUAUAACACUUUCAAGGAUUUAAUUAUACAUAUACUCUUGAAAUUUAUUUUAUUUACUUUUGCUAUUGUUUUAUUUACUUUUAAUUUGAAAACCUUUACAUUGAGUUCCACAUACUUCUUUCUUAUACCUUGACUCAUCUUGUAAUGGUGUGAAAGUCAAUGACUCGGAUUUUUGCUCUUUAACAAAGUUUCCAUAGUCACUUAAUUAUUAAAAGCUAAUUAAUUGUUCUUAUACCUUAGAGCUAAUUUGAUUUGCUUUUUAAUCAUUUUUAUGCACUUUUGAGGUAUUUUAAAUAACUUUUUACUGUUUUAUGUUUUCUAAUAAAGAGAACUCAUGUAGGAAUUGAACCUACAUCUGUAUACAUUUACCUAGUUCCUAUAGUGCUCUAUGAGCUAAUAGGUUUUAACACACUUUGUAGUCGAAGGAUUCCCUUAAAGAAGAUUACCUUUAUAUAAGCUCACUUUUAAUUUACUUUUUGAGAUAUUUUGAUUUACUUUUGAGAUAAUUUGGUUUACUUUGAGUUUUUUUUAGUUACUUUUAGAAACAACCUAGGUAGGAAUCGAACCUACAUUUUCUAUGCAUUUGCAUAGUGCUCUACCAUUUGAGCUAAUAGGUUUUAGCACACCUAAUAAUAAUAAUAAACCUGUUCUUUAAUUAUUUCUUUAAGAGUGUCCAAACACAAUGUGCUGCUGAAAUUUGGCACAGCUAUGCCUGUUCUGGAGACCUGUUAGCUUCCAUUUUAGUAUUCAAUCUAGUUUAGCAAUCUUUGCCAUAACUUACUGAAAGAAAGGUCCUCUGUAGUCUGUUGUUUCAGCUUCAUUGUUACACAAUGUAUACACAAUCACAUUUCAGACCAAACAAGAUCAUGAUUCAGACCAAACAUUUUGCAUUAUGUUGAUCACAGUAUACAGUUGGGGAGAAAAAGGCACAACAGAAUUUGUUCAUAUGGUAAAUGAGACUUAUCCAUGAUAUAUUGUCUAGAGACCUGCAUCUCUAAUUGAACCUUGCUUGUCUUCAUUGCCUGCCUCGUCUUAUUUUGCAUCACCUACAUGUUCUCUCAAGCCCCCAUCCUUGUAGGGACAGCCAUCUCCCAUAUGUUGUUACGUGUCCAAGCACUAUGAAGAUAGCAACUUCGUAUGACACACAAUUCAUGGUAUGACACACAAUUCAUGAUAAACUCAACUAAGGCAAUACUAGGAAUAAAUGGAUGAGAAUUCAAAUUAAUAGCAACUUCUUUAUAUUUGGCCCACACUAAUGAAGACCCAAAGCUAUAUAUACCUUCAAGCUAAAUUGUACAAGUAAAGGUUAUCAAUAUUCAAGCUGAAGUCAAUGAUUAUGGUAACAACCAAAUCCUUGCAAGUCUAAAAUUUUACAAGUAUGAAAGAUACAUAAGAGUCUGAUUGAUUUACUUUUAUCAUAUUUUUAUCUACUUUCACAUGAUUAAAAAAUAUGAUUAAAAGAUAAAAACAAUAUGAAAGACUUCAAUUCGCAUAACUUACCUUUAUGAACUAAAUUAUCAGGUACAUGAUUCACUGUAAUUCUACUGAUCUUUGUCAAAUAAGAAGAUCAUCAAUUAAAUAUGUACAAACUUUGAAUUUAAACAACAUUAUUAAAUAACUUAAAAUCUAAUCCAAUCAAAAUAAAAUAGAAGCAAACUACAUAAUAAGCAAUUAAUAUAACAUAAUAAUGAAACAUAAAAUCUAACUUCACAAAAAUCCAUAUAAAAAGAAAAUUUAAGAUCGAAGUAAGCUCUUGAUGAAUAGUAGAGAAGUUUUGCAAUCAUAAGAACCUCGACAAUUUUCUCAAUCAUAAGAAAUUUUCGCAAGAAUUAACUCUAACAUAUGAGCAAUUAAAAAUCUCGAGAAAUUUUAUUAUACUUUGUACAACACAAAAUUAAUAAUCAUAUAUCGCAAUUAAUUUGCUACAUGAUAAUUUUAGUCUUUUGAUAAUACUUUUAAAUAUAAUUGUUUUACUUUUACUUAGUUUAUAUCUACAUUUGAAUUUGAUAAAAUAAUAGGAUUCAGUGGGGAAUAUUGUUAAACAAUUAGUGUGCAUCAAAGUUUAAGCACCAAUUAGUGAAAUGCAAGUACCAAAAUUGACAAAGUCAGUCGCUAUAACCAUUCAUAACCUCAUAAAUUAUAAAUAAAAGAACGAAUUUCACUAUAAAGAACCUUAAAUUGACAAAACAAUUAAUGAUAAACCAGUGUAAUUGAAAUUCGUGAUUUAAAAAAAAAAUAGAAAAACAAAUAUAGAGGUAUUUGUUGCAAUGGAGGAGAGAGAAAUGAGAGAGUGCGGCUAGUUGGUUGGGAAAUGAAUGGAAUAUGUUUGAAUUAAUCUGAGCGGCUCAUCAAGCGCGCAUCUAAGGUAGAUCUAACGGCCCUAAUUAGUUCCUAGUGUCUAUUAUUCACCUAGUUCUUAUCGUAACUCGGUUAUAAGUUCAGUGAGAACCCUCUUCAUAUGAGAACUUCUUUUAAUAUGUGAACCAUCCUAUAACCGUUGGAUCUGAAAAUUUUGAUGGAUGUGAUUAUUAGGUGUAAGUAAUGACAAUUUUGUAAAUAACAUAAUCUUCCUUAUUUUAUGAGGGAACCCCAGUUAAUAUCAGAGAUUAACAAUUCAAGUUUAUCUCCUCUCACAACUUUAUGCAUUGAUUUACGUGCCACUUUAUUAUUUUGCUUUUAUCAUUUAAAAAAUAAAAGAAAAUAACUAGGUUGUGAGAGGAGAUAUAUUCACAGAUUUAUCUUAGAGAGAAACUUGAAUUUACCCUUAUUUAUUACUCCAUUUCAAUCUACUGUAUGAUAUUUUUCUCUCUCCUCAAAGCUUUUUCAGUUGAUUCCCAGUCUCUCUCCCCCCUUCGAAGCUCAUAAUCUUGAUAUCUUCCAUUGAUAUGAACAGCUGAAUAUCAAGUACAAUUAUACACCAAAAUUCAUUCAAAUAUCAAGAUCUUAUCAAAUUGAAUAACCAGUUGGCAAAGGGAUAUCUCCUAUUUUGAUGCCAACAGUCCGAUGUAACUUCUUUUGUAGACGUGGAAAAGAUUCAAAUACAUUUUCUAUACAUCAUAUUAGACCUUAGGCACAGACGGUUGAAAUAAAAGGAACUUUCAAGCUCCAUGAAUUUGAAUUUUGAAUUUGAAAUGCCUAGACUGAAGUCUACUUUGGAGGAAGAUUGGUAUCCAAUACAGAAGACAGGAACAAAAGAUGAUAUUGCAGGUUAUGUACUUAAUUAGUUGCGUUUUGUGGGAAAGUGUUGUAUUGCAUGUGAACCGAGAUUUGAGUUCUCAAAAUAAAGGGUGGUCUCACAAUAGGAGUGGUUCUCACAAUAUAUUCAUGUAAUUUGUUAAUAUAUGAAUAGUUUUAUAAUAAAUUAUUUCAUGUUGAUUGAACUCACUAAUAAAAACUGGUACAUUCACCACUAGCUAUAUUAUAAUAU